rnacentral:rRNA from 1 species
GACGAACGCUGGCGGCGUGCUUAACACAUGCAAGUCGAACGGAAAGGCCCUGCUUUUGUGGGGUUCUCGAGUGGCGAACGGGUGAGUAACACGUGAGUAACCUGCCCUUGACUUUGGGAUAACUUCAGGAAACUGGGGCUAAUACCGGAUAGGAGCUCCUGCUGCAUGGUGGGGGUUGGAAAGUUUCGGCGGUUGGGGAUGGACUCGCGGCUUAUCAGCUUGUUGGUGGGGUAGUGGCUUACCAAGGCUUUGACGGGUAGCCGGCAUGAGAGGGUGACCGGCCACAUUGGGACUGAGAGACGGACCAGACGCCUACGGGAGGCAGCAGUGGGGAAUAUUGCACAAUGGGCGGAAGCCUGAUGCAGCAACGCCGCGUGCGGGAUGACGGCCUGCGGGUUGUAAACCGCUUUCGCCUGUGACGAAGCGUGAGUGACGGUAAUGGGUAAAGAAGCACCGGCUAACUACGUG